GGUUCCCAACUGUUUCAUCUUCUAGACUUCAUAUGAACAACAUCAUUUCCUAACAAAUUUUCAGGUUCUUAUUCUCUUCAUUCCAAAUACAGUAACAAAUGUCGUUUUUGUUAAUUCGUAGUUCUUGAUUUGGUUCUCUGUUUCGAAGCUUAGAUCCAUCAAGAAUCUCUCAUGUUUUUCUUUUCUCGCGAAACACUAAUUUCUUGCAAUACUAUUUUGAUAUGCCUCGUUCUUGAUUUGAAUCUAUGUUUCAAAUUUUGGAUCUUUGAUAACAAUAUUUCUCAUGCUCGUUCUCUCAAUUUCUCCUCCAAUACCAAUGUAAUUUUUUUUAUAAAAUCACUUUUUUUCCCCUUAAACUAUAAUUGAUUACCGGUUCUUGAUUUGUUGGGUUUUGGAUCUUUUGACAAAAGGGGUAAUAUUAUGUGUUCCUAAUUUCCAGAAUUGGGUUCUUGUCCAUUACAUUUUGGUUCAAAAUUUCCACCGUUCUUUUUCGGUCAACAGAGGUCUUUAAUUCCAUGGGGGCUUCUUUCAUAAUUAACCAAUUAGCAUCUGUUAAUCAUUAAUUUGCUAAAUAAUUCUAUUUGUUCAACAUUUCCGGGUUUUCAAAAGCCACUAGCAGUUCAUAAAUCUGAGCAUCAAAAUGAGCACUAAACACCGGUUAGUUCUUUAUAUUGGAAAAGAUAAACUUCUGUUAGUUCGAUGCCCAUGUUGCUGGAAAUUUCAGUAUGAGCCACCACAAGUUCCGGUCUAUGUAUGUGGAGGCUGUAAUGCAAUUCUUAUAGUGAAGAAGGAUAAAUGCGAGAGAGUUGAUCCAGAUCAUGAUACAGAGAUAUUGGUAGCACACACAGAUUUUGCUCAAAAGGCAAAAAUUUAUGGUAAUAAUGUAUUUCCACAUGACACCGAAAGUUCAAAUCACUCGCUACUACAAUAUCCAAAGGUGAACACUAAACUCCAGUUAGUUCGAUGCCCAAGUUGCUGGAAAGCUCUGUUGGAGCCUCCAGAAGUUCUAGUCUACAAAUGUGGAGUUUGUAAUGCAAUUCUUUUAGCGAAGAAGCAUAAAAAUGAUACAGAGAUAUUAGAAUAUGCGGAGGUUGCUCAGAGGGCAGAUAUGUAUACUCAUAGUAUACCUCCACUUGACCCCGAAAGUUCAGAUCGAACUCAUCGAACACUGCUAACACAUCCAAAGAUUAAGCAAAUAAAUGAUCUCAAAAUCCCUCUUCACACCAUAAAAGAUUGUACCCAAGACUUUAACGAAAGAAACUUCAUCGGGAAGGGUGGAUAUGGAAGGGUCUACAAGGGAAUCCUCUUCUGGGCUGAUCAUGUAAACCAAGUAGUUGCUGUAAAACGGUUAGAUGUCACUGGGUUUCAAGGUAACAAGGAGUUCCACACUGAGCUCACACUUCUCUCACAAUAUCAACACGAAAACAUUAUAACCCUUGUAGGGUUUUGUGAUGAUAACAAGGAGAUGAUCCUUGUCUAUGAAUAUGCGAGCAAUGGAAGCCUUGAUACAUAUUUACUUGACACUUCUAUAUUGGUUCGACCUUCAUGGCCACAACUUCUAAAAAUAUGCAUUGAUGUUGCUUCUGCAUUGGACUAUCUUCAUAAUCACGUGGCAGAAAAACACACAAUAAUACACCGUGAUAUAAAAAGUUCAAAUAUUUUGUUGGAUAAGAAUUGGAAUGCAAAACUUGCUGAUUUUGGGCUGUCAAGAAUAGGUCUAGCAAAUCAACAGAACACGUUUGUCAUCACUAACAUUGCUGGCACACAUGGUUAUUGUGACCCACAAUACGAAAAAACAGGUUUUCUAACAAAAGAAUCAGAUGUUUAUUCGUUUGGUGUGGUUUUAUUUGAAGUAUUAUGUGGAAGGCUCGCGUGUGAUUUCAGUUACAAUGACGAACGGCGAUUCCUCCAUCAUUUGGCUCGAGCUAGCUACAAAAGUAGAGACAUAGACAAAAUUACUGAUCCCAAAAUAAGGAAAGAUAUCAAACCAAGUACACUGCUCAAGUUUUCAGCAAUUGCGUAUCAAUGCUUGGAAAAAACUCGGGAAAAACGACCGGCGAUUGCUGAGGUGGCAUUCCAACUUAAGGAGGCCAUGCAAAUUCAAAUUGUAACUAGUUAGAAGAUGAGUUACUCUUCGUGGUAUAGACUAUAGAGCUUCAUGAUGACCCUACCAACAUAGCUUCCAACCAUCCUCCAAUAGGAGCCACACUACCUCAUUCAGGGUGUUUUAACAAGUGGAAAAAAGAAACAAGGCGAUAUAUAUACUUGUUGUAACACCCAUUUCCCAGAAUGAACCAGUUGAUGAUAUAAAGGAGUCAAAUACAUGGUUUUUGAGGAAACUUGUAUGCCACGACGUGGCAUGGCAAUUGAAGAUCGUGUGCCUCUUAUGGGUGCCACGAUGUGACGUGUAUUCAUAAAAAGAUUUGGAUUAAAAUUUGUUAUAAUUUUUGUUUACAUAGAUGAUUUGAACAUAAUUGGAACUCUUGGAGAGUUGGAAAAGGCCAUUUCUUGUUUGAAUUUUUUUUUUUGAAAUGAAAGAUCUUGAUAAAACGAAAUUUUGUUUGGGUCUUCAAAGUGAGCACACCAAGGACGAAGUUUUGUACGUCAAUCCACUUAUCUAAAAAAAGUGCUUAAGAGAUUUUAUAUGGAUAACUCACAUCCAUUGAGUAAACCGAUGAUGGUAAGGCACCUAGAUUACAAAGGACCAAUUUUCGGCCUUGUGAAAAACAUGAAAAACUAAUUGGUCCCGAAGUUAAUAUCUAAGUGCUAAUGGUGCACUAAUGUAUCAUGCUAAUAAUACAAACCUGAUAUAUCUUUUGCUAUAAACUCAUUAGCAAGAUGUAGUUUUUUCCAAAUAAGAAGACACUAGAAUAGAGUCAACACAUUCUUCGAUAUCUUCGAUGUAUAAUGGAUAUGGGCUUAUACUACUUAAAUGCAUCAAAUGGGUAGUUAAAUGGUUAUGCAGAUGUUGAAUAUUUAUCUGAUCCACACAAAGCUCAAUCCCAAACAUGUUAUUUAUUCACUUGUGGUGGUACCACAAUUUCUUAGCGUUUUGUUAAACAAACUUUAGUUGCUGCUUCUUCUAACCAUACAAAGAUUAUAUCAAUUUAUGAGGCAAAUCGUGCAUGUAUUUUGUUAAGAAAUUUAACUCAUCAUAUUCGUGAAAAUUAUGGUAUAACUUCUAACAAGGAUGUUCUAUAUGAAGAUAAUGUGGCUUGUGUUUAUCAAAGUAGACAUAGCCAAAAAUAUAUCACCAAAGUUUUUUUUAACUCAUGAUAUUCAAAAAGAGCAUGGCCUCCUACAUCCAAAUUUGAAAAUAUGGUACAGAACAUUGAUAUGUGACCUUUCAAGGAAAUCAAGUGUUGUGAUGAUCAGGAGGAGAUGGAAACAUAUUAAACUCAUUUCCCUAGCUAAGCUUUUCCUACUGAGUUUUCUUAGCAAGGUUUUUAACGAGACAUUUUUUCCAAUGUCUGUUAUUAAUCAUUUACUCUUUUUCCUUAAUAAAGAAUUUUUUCCAUGAGGUUUUAUCUAUUAAGGUUUUAACGAGGUAUGAUACAAUCAUCACUCAAGUAAGAGUGUUACACAAUAUUAGUUUGUGAAUGACCUUUAGAUUCCCCUUGUCUCCACAACUCUCCAUCAUUAUUU